rnacentral:miRNA from 1 species
UUCCAUAGCAGCCUGCGGCAGUGUCAGAGGCAUUUGUCCUUGAGGCGUGUGAACGUACCUGGCCUCCUCUCUCCCUACUUGGCCUGGAAGCAGCAGCAGCAGCAGCAGCAGCAGCAGCAGCCCUAACUCCAGGGCAGGAUGCAGAUUA